rnacentral:lncRNA from 1 species
GCUGUGUUACGAAAAUAUGGAAUAAGAACAAAAGGAAAUAAUGAUAAAAAAUAAUUUGAAGACAGAGCACUAAGAAGGGAAGUGGGUCUCCGUUUUAGGAAACUGCGGCAUGUGCAUCUCAAUUUUAAGGUUAAAAAUGACUGAUAUUGUGGUCGUGAAAAAAGAGAUUUUUCACAGUAGCCAUGGUUUUGGUUGUUGAAUGCAG